rnacentral:lncRNA from 1 species
UAAAAACCUUGAUAAGCUCAGAUGAUUGACCCUAUAACAAAAACAAAUUCGCUACAUUUCUUUUUAUACCUAAUCCUUCCCGAGCCCAAAUUUCCCCCAAACAGAACCUGUUAUUACCUAAUUAACCCCCAAAAGACCAUAAAUCGUGCACCAUAGGUUGUACCCUGAUGGACCCCACAGCAAUAGGUGAUUGCAGGAUUCCUCAACCUUCAAACAAAGAUAACAGUCAUUCAAUAGGAUCUAACCUUUGGCUCUAAGUUUGUCAAUUGUUAGUAUUUUCUCCCAGCAUGCCUCCCACGCAAAAACAACAACACACAAGGGAGUCUUAGUUUUCUAGAUUUGCUUACAAGGGAAAUUUUGAAAACCUU